AGGUGAUGCAUGGCCGUCGUCAGUUCGUGGUUUGAAUUGUACCCUUAAGUGGGCUAACGAACGCAACCCUCGUUGUGUGUUAUAAGUGUCACACGAGACCGCCCAGCACCACUUUCCGGAAAGUGAUGAAUAUUUAUUAUGAAAGUAGUAGAUACGAAACUUUCGGAGAGUAAUUUCCGUAGCAGUAAUGUUCGGGAAAGUGGUGCUGGGAGGAAGGAGAGGAUGACGCCAGGUCAGCAUGUCCCUCUGAUACCCUGGGCUGCACACAUAAUACAAUGGCUUUUACAACGCGUAGCGACGAGGCGACUCUGAGCUAAUCGUCCAAAAAAGGCCCCAGUUCGGAUUGGAGUCUGCAACUCGACUCCAUGAAGCCGGAAUUGCUAGUAAUCGCAGGUCAGCUAAACUGCGGUGAAUACGUUCUCAAGUCUUGUACUCACCGCCCGUCAAGUCAAGGGAGCCGGGAGUACCCGAAGUAUCCGCAUAAGCGGGUCCUAAGGUAAGCUCGGUGACAGGGACUAAGUCGUAACAAGGCACGGGUAGCGGAAGCUGCUCGUGGAA
rnacentral:rRNA from 1 species